rnacentral:lncRNA from 1 species
GCACCCACGCGGCGCAGCUCCCAAAGUUGCAGACAGCCCGGCGAACCGCGCAAUGCGCUUCUUCUGCCUGCAGCAGAGAAAAGGAAAGAAAACUCCGCAGGGGCUCCGUUGGCUUCUCCACGAGUGACAACCAUGUUUUCCCAGAUAGAAGACCGGAGCCCUGCUCCUUUGCGAUCCGCCGAGGGCUGCAGAGAGCAUCCUCAUCCAUUUGGGCACCCCUGCCCAGGAAGAGCCCGGCCAUCCCUUUCCGGACUGGAUCCUUAAGAGGUGAAUUUUCUUCCGUGGAUUCCGAUUUGCUCCGUCUGACCAGCCUAGGCAAUCCAGCAUCGCGUGGUACCAGUGCCGCUGGGCACACUGGCUUCACGCCGGCUCCGCCUCACCAGCAAGCGCAUUCCCAGGUGGUCAGGCUCAGGAUGGACCAUGAGCUUUCAAAAAGGAAAAAGCUUUUUCUGGAGGAAAUUCGCAUUUGAAUUGAUGGACUGAAUAAAGCAGAUUGCAGUCCCCAGUGUGGAUGGGCUUGAUCCAGUCUUCUAAGGACCCAAAUAAAAUAGGUGGAGGAAGCUUGAAUUUUCUGCCUGACUGUGGCGCUGGGACACCCAUCUUCUCCUGCCCUUGAACUGGGACUGACACCAUCAGUGCUCCUGGUUCUCAGACCUUCGGACAGCAGACUUGGGGCCUUCUCGGCCUCCAUUAUUGUCUGCUUUUAGAUAUUUAACGGGAGAGGAAAAGAGAAAAUAUGAUUAAAGCCUUUGAAAGUCCAUUUCCAAGAAAUAAAAACUGCAGUAGGAAUUCUACAAAACUGAAAAAUCUUCAGGACUGGAAGAUCUAUCCAGAAAAGCCCAGUGGAUUAUAAUAACUUAUUAAAAUAUUUGUUUGGCAAGCCACUGACUAAUACCACUUUAAGAUAUGAAUGCAUUACCAAAAAAAA